rnacentral:pre_miRNA from 1 species
AAAAAGACAAACCCUGAAUUUCCGUGUUCAACAUUUGACCGUCCAUCUUAUUUGAAAAAAAAUGAAAAAAAUUAAAAAGACAAGUCACGUAUAAAGUAUUAAUCAUGUUUUAUCAUCUAACAAUAAUAAAAAUACUAAUUAUAAAAAAUUUCAUAUAAGACGGACAGUCAAACAUUGGACACGGAAAUCCAGAGUUUGUCUUUUU